UAAUUAAUUAGAUAAAAUAAUUUUAAUUUCAAAUUAUAACUCUUAUUCCUUUUGUUCCAAUCUAACCAUCCAAAUAUUAUUUACCUUAUUUUCUAAACAACUCAAUUUUCAUCUAAACUCAAAAUUAGUUUACUUCUUGUUUAUAUCUGAACUUAAUUGUACCUGUCCAUGAAAUAAGCAGUUUUUACUUAUACUCGAAUCAAACGCAGCCUUAAAGAAAAAUGGUAGAGACUUAAAUAGUGUGAGUGAUUGCGAAAGAU
rnacentral:lncRNA from 1 species